rnacentral:rRNA from 1 species
GAUGAACGCUGGCGGCGUGCCUAAUACAUGCAAGUCGAGCGAACAGAUGAGGAGCUUGCUCCUCUGACGUUAGCGGCGGGCGGGUGAGUAACACGUGGAUAACCUACCUAUAAGACUGGGAUAACUUCGGGAAACCGGAGCUAAUACCGGAUAAUAUAUUGAACCGCAUGGUUCAAUAGUGAAAGACGGUUUUGCUGUCACUUAUAGAUGGAUCCGCGCCGCAUUAGCUAGUUGGUAAGGUAACGGCUUACCAAGGCAACGAUGCGUAGCCGACCUGAGAGGGUGAUCGGCCACACUGGAACUGAGACACGGUCCAGACUCCUACGGGAGGUAGCAGUAGGGAAUCUUCCGCAAUGGGCGAAAGCCUGACGGAGCAACGCCGCGUGAGUGAUGAAGGUCUUCGGAUCGUAAAACUCUGUUAUUAGGGAAGAACAAAUGUGUAAGUAACUAUGCACGUCUUGACGGUACCUAAUCAGAAAGCCACGGCUAACUACGUG